ACUGAAAUUUUGGCAUGACCUCC
rnacentral:piRNA from 1 species